GACGAACGCUGGCGGCGUGCUUAACACAUGCAAGUCGUACGGUAAGGCCCUUUCGGGGGUACACGAGUGGCGAACGGGUGAGUAACACGUGCGUAACCUGCCCACAACUUUGGGAUAACGCUAGGAAACUGGUGCUAAUACUGGAUAUGUGCUCCUGCUGCAUGGUGGGGGUUGGAAAGCUCCGGCGGUUGUGGAUGGACUCGCGGCCUAUCAGCUUGUUGGUGGGGUAGUGGCCUACCAAGGCGGCGACGGGUAGCCGGCCUGAGAGGGUGACCGGCCACAUUGGGACUGAGAUACGGCCCAGACUCCUACGGGAGGCAGCAGUGGGGAAGAUUGCACAAUGGGCGCAAGCCUGGUGAAGCAACGCCGCGUGCGGGAUGACGGCCUUCGGGUUGUAAACCGCUUUCAGCAGGGACGAAGCUUUUUGUGACGGUACCUGCAGAAGAAGCACCGGCUAACUACGUG
rnacentral:rRNA from 1 species